CUACCGGUUCUCCAGAACCUGUCAGAACUGGCUGAAUACCACCUCUGUAGUGGUCUACUACAUCUAGUUCUUUUCUAGAUUUAAAAAGUUUUCUUUCUUUGGUGAAUUGAUUAAACAUAACCUGGCUUAGGGGCGUUAUAGCUCUGAUGCCGUGAGCAAAAAAUUGGACUAGAUAUCUUUAAAACCCCAGUAACAAGACAAAGGGGGAGCUUUCCACUGAAAGUUGUAUUUAUACACUGUAGUGUGCCCAAUACAGAGAGACCAUGCCCAAUAUAAUAGGCUUAGCCUAUUUGUUCUUCAGCAAAAGCCACUGCAGCUAUAUUGGAUUGUCUUUUCGGUUGUUGCAGCAAAGAGAGGAUCAGGAUGUUUUGGCAGCUGUAUGGAGUAAAUACAUAACAAUAACCCUAUUCAGGUUUACCCUUCCCCCCCUCCUCCCACUCCUUCAAUAAUGUUCCAUUUUGGUCAAAGCUGUAUUUAGCAAGAAAACAGAUUAGCCGAAGCCUGGCUUAAUCAAAACCUAUCCCUGUUCUGGGAUUUGUCUUUACUUACAAAGUAAACAUAGCAAACAUUCCAGACUUCACUUUCCCUAUGUUUGACCUCCAUUACAUUGCAUAAUAAAAUUAACCAUUCGGUUACUCUCUUGUCAUAAAUCUCUACAGACUCAUAAAGAUAAAAAGAAAAAAAAAGCUGAAGACCUGGAGAUUAAGCUUGAUCUAAAGCACAAAGACUUAGAGAAGGACCUGUUUGUUUACAACCUGCAUCUGGCCUCAGUUUUAUUUAUUGCAGGGAAACGCCUUGGCCUACACACAUGGUUGAAUGAAGUGGAAGGAUGCCUCAUCACCACACAUUGGAAAUAAUACCUGGAAUGCUGAAAACCUCAGCAGCAAAAAGCCAACAAGUCAAGGAGAAGGGUUCUGUUACCUCAUUCAAGUGCAAGUGUGGAAUCAGGAUUGUGGUCCCCUUUACCUCCCCUUUGGAAGAAACAUACAUCUCAUGAGAUUGUCACACAGCUUUUACGUUAUGUUUGUUUGGCCACCAGAUACAAAUGGAAGCAGUCAAUUCAGAAGACGAAGAUGUGUUUGCUUUUCUUUUGUGUGCUUAUUUAAUUCUUCAUAUAGAUGAUGAAAAAUAGACCUCACUGGAAGAUCAAUGGAAAGAGGCAGUUUUAGGCUGGUUUAGAAUAGCUUUGUGGCAGGUCCUAUAUAGACCAGCAAAGCAUCUGAUUGUACUCUUAAAGAACAUCAUUAACUGCUACAUGUGGAUAUGCUGCAUGGAAUGUGGCCAACUUUUCCCAAUCUCCUUCAUGACUUUUCCUUUAAUUCUGCUUCCGUGUUUAACAUGUCUUCAAAACUUCAGUUGGCCCUUUUUUGAGAGGGGGUUACUGGUGGGGAAAAGAAAGGAAUGCUGAAAAUAUGUGGAAGUUCAACAGUAUCCAUGAUUUUUUCACUAUUGUCAGAAAAAUCAACUCAGCAUCCUUCUAGCACAGUGUUUCUCAACCUUGACAAUUUUAAGAUGUGUGGACUUGAACUCCAAAAAUUUCCUAGUCAAGUUUGAGAAACACUGAUCUAUCAGUUAGAAAAGGAGCAGAAGAAUCAACCCCCAAACUGAUUAAUAAUCCUAUCAUUAGCUUUCUGUUUGGAAGAAGGCAUCAGCAUGCUUGUACCAACUAACAUGAUGGUAAAUUCAGAUAUGGCCUUUUGCCAGCUAUUUUAUGGGGCGAUCACUUUAAGUGGGAUUGAUGCCACCCUAAAUGAAGGCAUUGUUGCUCUUAGGAUACAAGCAAUAGUUCCAGUAGCUCUCCUUUUGAAUGACUGCAUAACUUGGCAAGAGAAACAAUUGUCUGUACCAUCCCUAGUGUUCUCCAGAUAGUGUUGUUUGUUAGGCUUGGUGAAAAAUAUCAGAUAAGAUAUAGGAUAAAAGCACAGAAUUAGACAUCGCAGCAGGGUAAACCACAAAUUAAGGAAAAAGAAUAGCAUCUGAAGUACUGCAUAGAGGCAAGAGUUUACAAGGAUAGCACUGAGAUUAUCUUUACAGUGAAAGAAGAUAGACAUCUGCCUGUAUUCAGAAGUGCCAAACAGUUUUACUUCAUCAGCUUCAUCAGUAGAAUUUAUAGUAGCUGAAAGCACAAGAGCUCUGCUGGAAUAAGUCGGCAAUUCUUAGUAUGAAAGAAAAGUCUCUCUGAUUGCCUCUUGAGGUAAUUAAUCCUGUGAUAUUUCUUUGCCGAGAGUCACAUUUGGAUGAUAGAUGUUGAGACGUUAAAACUAGAUCUUGGCUUUUUCCAGGACCAAAAGGCAGCUUACAUAAGGGGUACCUUUCAUUUUAUCCA